rnacentral:rRNA from 1 species
AUUGAACGCUGGCGGCAUGCCUAACACAUGCAAGUCGAACGAGUGGCGGACGGGUGAGUAAUGUCUGGGAAACUGCCCGAUGGAGGGGGAUAACUACUGGAAACGGUAGCUAAUACCGCAUACCAUCGGAUGUGCCCAGCUGGGAUUAGCUAGUAGGUGGGGUAACGGCUCCCCUAGGCGACGAUCCCUAGCUGGUCUGAGAGGAUGACCAGCGACACUGGAACUGAGACACGGUCAAGACGCCUACGGGAGGCAGCAGUGGGGAAUAUGGCACAAUGGGCGCAAGCCUGAUGCAGCCAUGCCGCGUGUAUGAAGAAGGCCUUCGGGUUGGAAAGUACGUUCAGCGAGGAGGCGGUACCCGCAGAAGAAGCACCGGCUAACUCCGUGCCAGCAGCCGCGGUAAUAC